CCGGUGAGCGGAGGUCCGGUGAGGGUGCGUUUUUCCGCCUGCUGCGCCUCACACCUCGGUGCUGGCGCCAGAGAGCAAGGCCAUGAAUCCAGCAGACAUUUUUCCAACUCCUACUUAUCCUCACUGCUGGUAGCCGAGGGAACUUGUCCCAGGACCAGUCCUUCCUUUCUGGCUAGCAUCUGUGAUGCCUCAAUAAACCCUUUGUGUCAGAGA